GACGAACGCUGGCGGCGUGCCUAAUACAUGCAAGUCGAGCGGAAGUUGGAGAGCUUGCUCUUCAACUUUAGCGGCGGACGGGUGAGUAACACGUGGGCAACCUGCCCUGCAGAUCGGGAUAACUCCGGGAAACCGGUGCUAAUACCGAAUAGUUUUCGCCACCUCCUGGUGGCGUACGGAAAGACGGUUUCGGCUGUCACUGCAGGAUGGGCCCGCGGCGCAUUAGCUAGUUGGUGGGGUAACGGCCCACCAAGGCAACGAUGCGUAGCCGACCUGAGGGGGUGAUCGGCCACCCUUGGACUGAGACACGGCCCAGACUCCUACGGGAGGCAGCAGUAGGGAAUCUUCCGCAAUGGACGAAAGUCUGACGGUGCAACGCCGCGUGAGUGACGAAGGUUUUCGGAUCGUAAAACUCUGUUGUGAGGGAGGAACAAGUACCAACUAACUACUGGUACCUUGACGGUACCUCACCAGAAAGCCACGGCUAACUACGUGCCAGCAGCCGCCGUAAAAC
rnacentral:rRNA from 1 species